AUUGAACGCUGGCGGCAUGCUUUACACAUGCAAGUCGAGCGGCAGCGCGGGGGGCAACCCUGGCGGCGAGCGGCGAACGGGUGAGUAAUGCAUCGGAACGUACCCUGGAGUGGGGGAUAACGCCGCGAAAGCGGCGCUAAUACCGCAUAUGCUCUGAGGAGGAAAGUGGGGGACCUGCAAGGGCCUCACGCUCUGGGAGCGGCCGAUGUCCGAUUAGCUAGUUGGUGGGGUAAAGGCUUACCAAGGCGACGAUCGGUAGCUGGUCUGAGAGGAUGAUCAGCCACACUGGGACUGAGACACGGCCCAGACUCCUACGGGAGGCAGCAGUGGGGAAUUUUGGACAAUGGGGGCAACCCUGAUCCAGCCAUGCCGCGUGAGUGAAGAAGGCCUUCGGGUU
rnacentral:rRNA from 1 species